AUUGAACGCUGGCGGCAGGCCUAACACAUGCAAGUCGAGCGAGCGGCGGAGGGGUGAGAAAUGUGUGGGGCUCUGCCCGAGAGAGGGGGAAAACUAGUAGAAACGAUGGCUAAUACCGCAUACUAUCGGAUGAACCCAUAUGGGAUUAGCUAGUAGGUGGGGUAACGGCUCACCUAGGCGACGCUCUCUAGGGGGUCGGAGAGGAUGAUCAGCCACACUGGAACUGAGACACGGCCCAGACUCCUACGGGAGGCAGCAGUGGGGAAUAUUGCACAAUGGGCGCAAGCCUGAUGCAGCCAUGCCGCGUGUAUGAAGAAGGCCUUAGGGUUGUAAAGUACUUUCAGCGGGGAGGCGUUACCCGCAGAAGAAGCACCGGCUAACUCCGUGCCAGCAGCCGCGGUAAUUC
rnacentral:rRNA from 1 species